UUGAAUAUAAUCUGAUCUUACUCUGCCUAAAUCGUUUCACUUAAAACUUUCCACAAAAUCUCCAGCAGAAAAAGCUUAAACACACACAGAUGUUACCCUAUGUCCGAUAUGUUUUGGUCAAUGAUGUUCAUUCAAGCAUGGGGGACUAAUUCUUUUGUACACCGUGAGAGAUUAUCUCUCUACAAGACAAACCAGCAGAAUGUUCGAGAAUAACUGUUGGAGAUGAGUUUGAAAACUCGAAAUAUCGGCGAAACUAUCUUACAGGUACGCAUUUACUCAAACGCAGAGAGAUGACUGACAUCUAUUCCUGAAAUGGCUGGAACCAAGAAAUUUGAAAGACGGCAUCACAGUUUUCCAUUCACAGAACAUAUUCAGCACAGACUUUCUGAAGCAGAGAUAUCGUAAUAGCAAAUAUUCUGCUCAGUACCACAGAUUUGCUUGUCAGUUGCUUGACCAUAACCGUUUCAGCAUGUCCCUUAGUAGCUGACAAUAUGUGCAUCUCUGAUCAUGAGCAAGAGUAGUUGGGGAGCGUCAUAGCUAUGUGUUGAAUAAAUAUAACAAAAGCAGUUUGAAGGAAAUAUUAGCCAUUUUUCGUACUUUCUAGAAGUAAGCAAAUAAGAAAUAACAAUGCUACCCAAGUACAAAAAUCAUGUUACACAGUGUUAUUAUUAUGGCUCAGUCAGAAGACAAAGAACAACAACCUGGAUUUUUGUAGGACUUCCGUGUCUUAUAGAGGAAUGUUUUGUAGUUCGCUGCUAACAAAUAUUAAAACUUGUGUAAGUAGCUCAGUGGCGAUGUGUAGACAGGUUAGCAUAAAGGGCAGUCUCCUAAGGACUCACCUCCGUGUUGUAUUUGGUACUGUUCUUCCACUUUGAGAACCACUUUCUCCUGUAUCUUUUAACAAGCAAUGGCACUACAUAAGGAAAUGUGCAAUAAGAAGUAGAACAUUCAAACAGCAAGUUAUUACAAGAGUAGAUUCGGAUAUCCUGAUUACUAUUAAUCCCUUCU